rnacentral:rRNA from 2 species
UCGAGAAUUUUUCACAAUGGGCGAAAGCCUGAUGGAGCGACGCCGCGUGGGGGAUGAAUGGCUUCGGCCCGUAAACCCCUGUCAUUCGCGAUCAACCCUUGCUGUUUAAGAGAUGGCAAGCUGAUAGUAGCGGAAGAGGAAGGGACGGCUAACUCUGUGCCAGCAGCCGCGGUAAUACAGAGGUCCCAAGCGUUGUUCGGAUUCACUGGGCGUAAAGGGUGCGUAGGUGGUGGGGUAAGUCGGAUGUGAAAUCUCGGAGCUCAACUCCGAAAUGGCAUUGGAAACUGCCCUGCUUGAGGGUCGGAGGGGGGACUGGAAUUCUCGGUGUAGCAGUGAAAUGCGUAGAUAUCGAGAGGAACACCAGUGGCGAAGGCGAGUCCCUGGACGACUCCUGACACUGAGGCACGAAAGCUAGGGGAGCAAACAGG